GUCGCCGGAAGGGCUACUCAAGUGGGGUCCGAGACAACAAGGUGUCAGUUCUUCCUCUCUCUCUGACAUUCUUAUUCAUCAGUUCAAUCAACUGUUCUCGACGAUUGCAGUUCAAGAGAUGCACUGUGGGACAAAGCAUGGAAGUCAUUCUUCAUUGACCUCACCGAUGAACCCAAAGAUACCCCAUGCCUGGAAGAAGCGACAGAUUCUGAUGAUGCCCAGGAAAAAGAAAGUUUUCAUCGGAAGGGCAACUCAAAGAGCCUACUAUUAAGUACAAUAUUCCCAUCUUGAUUAAGUAGAUAUACCUUGUUUGAAAGACCAUUGGCAACCAACUAUUGCAU